rnacentral:tRNA from 1 species
GGGGCAGUAGCUCAGUCGGGAGAGCACCUGCUUUGCAAGCAGGGGGUCGGGAGUUCGAAUCUCCUCUGCUCCA